GAUGAACGCUGGCGGCGUGCCUAAUACAUGCAAGUCGAGCGAACGGACGAGAAGCUUGCUUCUCUGAUGUUAGCGGCGGACGGGUGAGUAACACGUGGAUAACCUACCUAUAAGACUGGGAUAACUUCGGGAAACCGGAGCUAAUACCGGAUAAUAUUUUGAACCGCAUGGUUCAAAAGUGAAAGACGGUCUUGCUGUCACUUAUAGAUGGAUCCGCGCUGCAUUAGCUAGUUGGUAAGGUAACGGCUUACCAAGGCAACGAUGCAUAGCCGACCUGAGAGGGUGAACGGCCACACUGGAACUGAGACACGGUCCUGACUCCUACGGGAGGCAGCAGUAGGGAAUCUUCCGCAAUGGGCGAAAGCCUGACGGAGCAACGCCGCGUGAGUGAUGAAGGUCUUCGGAUCGUAAAACUCUGUUAUUAGGGAAGAACAUAUGUGUAAGUAACUGUGCACAUCUUGGCGGUACCUAAUCAGAAAGCCACGGCUAACUACGUG
rnacentral:rRNA from 1 species